AACGAACGCUGGCGGCACGCCUAACACAUGCAAGUCGAACGCGAGACCAUCCUUCGGGAUGUGAUUGAGUGGCGGACGGGUGAGUAACGCGUGGGAACCUGCCUUGCAGUAAGGAAUAACCUCGGGAAACCGGGGCUAAUACCGUAUACGCCCUUUUGGGGAAAGAUUUAUCGCUGUAAGAUGGGCCCGCGUUAGAUUAGGUAGUUGGUAGGGUAAUGGCCUACCAAGCCGAUGAUCUAUAGCUGGUUUGAGAGGAUGAUCAGCCACACUGGGACUGAGACACGGCCCAGACUCCUACGGGAGGCAGCAGUGGGGAAUAUUGGACAAUGGGGGCAACCCUGAUCCAGCGAUGCCGCGUGAGUGAAGAAGGCCUUCGGGUUGUAAAACUCUUUCACCUGUGACGAUGAUGACGGUAGCAGGAGAAGAAGCACC
rnacentral:rRNA from 1 species